GAUGAACGCUAGCGGCAGGCCUAACACAUGCAAGUCGAGCGGGAAGUUACUGUCUGCUGCUUGAUACCGCCGCACGGGGGCGUAACGCGUAUACAAUCCUCCUUUCACUGGGGGAUUGCCGUAAGAAAUUGGGAGCAAUUCCCCAUUGCGUAUAGAGGCGGCAACGGGGUGAUAUUAAAGCCUAGGGGGUGCAGGUGGAGCAUGCGUUCUAUUAGCUAGUUGGAGAGGUAACGGCUCCCCAAGGCGAUGAUAGAUAGGGGUUCUGAGAGGGAUGACCCCGGCACUGGUACUGGGAUCCGGACCAGACUGGUACGGGCGGCAGCGGAGAGGAGUAUUGGGGCAUGGUCGGGAGCCUGAUCCAGCCAUGCCGCGUGCAGGAUGAAGGGCUUAUGGAUUGUAAUCUGCUUUUGGAAGGGAAGAUUAAGGGAUACGCGUCGUUUGAUGACGGUACCUCACGAAUAAGCCCCGGCUACCUCCGUG
rnacentral:rRNA from 1 species